UGGCAAUGAGGACACCCUAAAUUAAAAUGAUUCAAUAGCUGAAUUACAAAUUAUACGCUAUUCUGAGCCAGUG